AUUCUGUUUAUGCCUGACAGUUAUUAAAUACGCUUGACAAUACAUCCAGUAGAAAGAAUAAGAUAUUUACUGCUUGAAUAGAUGAACAUUGAAUAAAUAUAGAAAGAAGUUCCCUGAGGAUGGGUUGUAGCACAAAUCUGAGAGCUAGGAAAACUAAAACUGUCCUGGUGACCAACCCAGAUUGGAUCCUGCAACAUUAUCCUAGGACAUAUAUAUUUGCUUUCAUUUGUGAUGAACUUUUCAAUAGAAUUCUUGGGGAAAAGUCAGUUUUACUGUUUAGCUUCUUGCUUAAAGUUUGUGGACAUAUUCACCAAGUUAAACUUAAGAGCCCCUUUACCUUCACCAUAUUAAAUGAACUUGUCUGAUACAUAAGGUACUAGUAAUUUUAGUAAACUUUGCAAUAGCUAAAUUGAAGGGGGGAAAAUAACGUCCCAAAGAAAAUACUCAUGUACCUUUCAGCACUAUGAAUGUCAGUUCUGCUAUCUUCAACUUUUUGUUUCACUGGCAUCCUGCCAUAAAAUGAAAGGGAGACAGGAAAGGAAUUUGGGGAAGUAAAGCUUGGGCAUGGAAAGGGGGAGACAAAUGGAGAGGGGAAGACAAGCUAACAAGAAUCAAAUGUCAAAAAUCAAGAUGUCAAACCAGAAUAAACCAGCUGCCAAUGACACAUGGCUUGGGAAUGGAAUGAGAAACUACAUUAAGAAGCACCAUCAAAACUUCCCAAAAAUUCAAAAAGAAUAAUAUUGGACACUGUUGAACUGAUUAAGGUGGAGGGAGAGCGGAGGGAGAGCAGGGAAAGGGAAAAACUGUAACGUUUGCGUGGGAAUACCAGAUCUAGCUUUACUUUCACUACAACCGCUUGACAUUAGUUAAAAGAACCUAUCACUUUUACAAAAUGGAGUCGAGGGUCUUUCUUUCCUAAACAUCCAAGUUGCAAGUCUGACAAGGUGCAUGAACAAGUGUCGGAGAUGAUCAAUAUAUAUUGGGAUCAGAUUUUAUUAAAGAAUUUAAAUAAUAUAAUCAUAGCUAAAAUUUAGGUAAUGAUUUUAUCAACAAACAUUUGUUCUCUUUCCCAUUAAAAAAAUCUAAAAACACUCAAAAUGUCUUCAUUGCUACUGUUUUCAAAACAUAUAUACAAGCAUAGGCAAGUGUAUUAUGUUAAUGCAAACUACAUUCAUAAGAUACUUAGGAAAUCAUGGAAAAUUUUAAUAUUAUUACAGGUUUUGAGUUAUUCCUCCCCCCCC